rnacentral:rRNA from 1 species
UACGUAGGGUGCAAGCGUUAUCCGGAAUUAUUGGGCGUAAAGAGCUCGUAGGCGGUUUGUCGCGUCUGCUGUGAAAACUGGAGGCUCAACCUCCAGCCUGCAGUGGGUACGGGCAGACUAGAGUGCGGUAGGGGAGAUUGGAAUUCCUGGUGUAGCGGUGGAAUGCGCAGAUAUCAGGAGGAACACCGGUGGCGAAGGCGGGACUCUGGGCCGAUACUGACGCUGAGGCACGAAAGCGUGGGGAGCAAACAGG